rnacentral:rRNA from 1 species
CCUACGGGUGGCAGCAGUAGGGAAUCUUCCACAAUGGGCGAAAGCCUGAUGGAGCAACGCCGCGUGGGUGAAGAAGGUCUUCGGAUCGUAAAACCCUGUUGUUAGAGAAGAAAGCGCGUGAGAGUAACUGUUCACGUUUCGACGGUAUCUAACCAGAAAGCCACGGCUAACUACGUGCCAGCAGCCGCGGUAAUACGUAGGUGGCAAGCGUUAUCCGGAUUUAUUGGGCGUAAAGGGAACGCAGGGGGUAUUUUAAGUCUGGUGUGAAAGCCUUCGGCUUAACCGGAGUAGGGCAUUGGAAACUGGGGAGCUUGAGUGCAGAAGAGGAGAGUGGAACUCCAGGUGUAGCGGUGAAAUGCGUAGAUAUAUGGAGGAACACCAGUGGCGAAAGCGGCUCUCUGGUCUGUAACUGACGCUGAGGUUCGAAAGUGUGGGUAGCAAACGGGAUUAGAUACCCGGGUAGUC